rnacentral:rRNA from 1 species
AGGGAAAGUUGAAAAGAACUUUGAAGAGAGAGUUCAAAAGGGCGUGAAACCGCUUAGAAUAAAACGGACGGAGCCGUCAGUGGCCCGAUGGAAUCAGUCGUACGACGCGCGAUAAUUCUCAAGUCGGAGCGAAUAGUACGACUUGUUGGAUUGUGGAAAUAUAGCGUUCGUUCGAUGCAUUUCCAGAGGGUAAGCGCCGCGACCGAUGCGAAAGGCUAGUGAAACUAGCGAGUUGAGGGCGAAACCUUUCGGGGUAUUCGUAACCAGCUCGUUGGUCUUUAGUCGCUAGACCGUAGUAUGCAUCGAGCGCAGUAAUAUCUAUAACGCCGGCGUAAACGCUCGUUCAAGUAGUGGAAAGUCAACGGAUUAUUCGUCGCCUGCUCGCAGGUUACGUUUAUUCCCGUUUGGCGCUAGAAACUACAGGCGAGUAUCGGCGUUUGGGCGUCAGCGGCGUCCGAGACGGUCAACCGUCCGACCCGUCUUGAAACACGGACCAAGGAGUCUAACGUACGCGCGAGCUAAUGAGUGGAAAACUCAUAAGCGCAAUAAAAGUGAAAACCGUCUCAGGCGGUGUGGGGUACGAUCCUCGUAUAGCGAUAUUCGAGGCGCAGUACCAUCCCGUCCUAAUCGCUUGUCGAUAGGGCGGAGAUUGAGUGCAUACGUUGGGACCCGAAAGAUGGUGAACUAUGCCUGAGCAGAGCGAAGCCAGAGGAAACUCUGGUGGAGGUUCGUAGCGGUUCUGACGUGCAAAUCGAUCGUCUAGAC